rnacentral:rRNA from 1 species
AUUGAACGCUGGCGGCGUGCCUAAUACAUGCAAGUCGAACGGAGUGGCGCACGGGUGAGUAAUGUAUAGCUAAUCUGCCCUACACUAGCGGACAACAGUGGGAAACGACUGCUAAUACUCUAUAGUGUAGGAUGAGGCUAUAUUGUAUCAGCUAGUUGGUGAGGGAAUGGCUCACGAAGGCUAUGACGCAUAACUGGUCAGGGAAGAUGAUCAGUCACAAUAGAGCUGGGACACGGUACAGACUCCAACGGGAGGGAGGAGUAGGGAAUAAUGCUCAGUGGGGGAAGCCCUGAAGCAGCAACGCCGCGUGGAGGAUGACACUAUUCGGAGCAGAAACUGAUUUUGUUAGGGAAGCGGUACCUAACGAAUAAGCACCGGCUAACUCCGUGCCAGCAGCCGCGGUAAUAA